GGUUGAUCCUGCCGGAGGCCAUUGCUAUCGGAGUCCGAUUUAGCCAUGCUAGUCGCACGAGUUCAUACUCGUGGCAUAUAGCUCAGUAACACGUGGCCAAACUACCCUACAGCGACGGAUAACCUCGGGAAACUGAGGCCAAUCCGUCAUAGCGCUCUCUCAGUGGAAUACUGGAGAGUCACAAACGCUUCGGCGCUGUAGGAUGUGGCUGCGGCCGAUUAGGUAGACGGUGGGGUAACGGCCCACCGUGCCCAUAAUCGGUACGGGUUGUGAGAGCAAGAGCCCGGAGACGGAAUCUGAGACAAGAUUCCGGGCCCUACGGGGCGCAGCAGGCGCGAAACCUUUACACUGCACGCAAGUGCGAUAAGGGGACUCCGAGUGCGAGGGCAUAUCGUCCUCGCUUUUCUGUACCGUAGGGCGGUACAGGAACAAGGACUGGGCAAGACCGGUGCCAGCCGCCGCGGUAAUACCGGCAGUCCAAGUGAUGGCCAAUCUUAUUGGGCCUAAAGCGUCCGUAGCCGGCCUCGAAAGUCCGUCGGGAAAUCCACUGGCUCAACCAGUGGGCGUCCGGCGGAAACUUCGAGGCUUGGGACCGGAAGGCUCGAGGGGUACGUCCGGGGUAGGAGUGAAAUCCUGUAAUCCCGGACGGACCACCGAUGGCGAAAGCACCUCGAGAAGACGGAUCCGACGGUGAGGGACGAAAGCUAGGGUCUCGAACCGGAUUAGAUACCCGGGUAGUCCUAGCCGUAAACGGUGUCCGCUAGGUGUGGCACUGGCUACGAGCCAGUGCUGCGCCGUAGGGAAGCCGAGAAGCGGACCGCCUGGGAAGUACGUCUGCAAGGAUGAAACUUAAAGGAAUUGGCGGGGGAGCACUACAACCGGAGGAGCCUGCGGUUUAAUUGGACUCAACGCCGGACAUCUCACCAGCCCCGACUACAGUGAUGACGAUCAGGUUG
rnacentral:rRNA from 1 species